rnacentral:misc_RNA from 1 species
UUAACUAUUAUAUAGUACUCAGACGACACUAACUCUCAGAGUUGGGGGGUCCUCUGGCAGGCGCUUACCAGCAGAGCCGGUAGACUAAUAGUUCGGCCUGCCAAAGCAACAGAGGUAUAUAGACAAAGGAUGGGAGAUCUACCCUAAAGGGCAUGAACUCUGUAAUGAUCCCUCCGCAGGUUCACCUACGGAGA